UACAGAGGCCUCGAGCGUUAGGCGGAAUCACUGGGCUUAAAGCGUGUGUAGGCGGAUUGGUAAGUACCUUGUGAAAUCCCACAGCUUAACUGUGGAACUGCUCGGUAUACUGCUGAUCUUGAGCCACUCAGGGGCUACCGGAACAAAUGGUGGAGCGGUGAAAUGCGUAGAUAUCAUUUGGAACGCCAAUGGUGAAAACAGGUAGCUGGGGGGUGUGCUGACGCUGAGACACGAAAGCCAGGGGAGCAAACGGG
rnacentral:rRNA from 1 species